AGUGAACGCUGGCGGUAGGCCUAACACAUGCAAGUCGAACGGCAGCACAGUAAGAGCUUGCUCUUACGGGUGGCGAGUGGCGGACGGGUGAGGAAUACAUCGGAAUCUACUUUUUCGUGGGGGAGAACGUAGGGAAACUUACGCUAAUACCGCAUACGACCUACGGGUGAAAGCAGGGGAUCUUCGGACCUUGCGCGAUUGAAUGAGCCGAUGUCGGAUUAGCUAGUUGGCGGGGUAAAGGCCCACCAAGGCGACGAUCCGUAGCUGGUCUGAGAGGAUGAUCAGCCACACUGGAACUGAGACACGGUCCAGACUCCUACGGGAGGCAGCAGUGGGGAAUAUUGGACAAUGGGCGCAAGCCUGCUCCAGCCAUACCGCGUGGGUGAAGAAGGCCUUCGGGUUGUAAAGCCCUUUUGUUGGGAAAGAAAAGCAGCAGGUUAAUACCCCGAUGUUCUGACGGUACCCAAAGAAUAAGCACCGGCUAACUUCGUG
rnacentral:rRNA from 1 species